rnacentral:lncRNA from 1 species
AGAAUGAGAAUUGUAAGAAAUGCAGCAGAACUGUGACUGGCUGGGAAAAUACAGCAGUGGGCAGAGCAGCCUAGUAAGCAGAAGAAAUUUCAUUGGGAAUCACUUGAAGUUUGGAUCUCAGAACUCAGAAUCAGUACUUGGAAUUUGUAACCCCAAAAUAUGUUAGCUUUACUCACCAGCUAUACCCAGGCUACUAUUAGGGUCAUCAUGUAACUUCCAAAAAGUGGCACUAUCUACCUUCAGCUUCUCAAUGGAGAGAAUAUAUUCCACUGAAAAACAGCCAGUGCAGCUUAUGAAGAAUGAACAAGUGCAGAUGUUUUAACUAUACUGACAAACUGAGAUGGAAAGUAUUAAAACCAAGUCAUCAAGUACAUCAAGAGGCUGAAUGGAUAUCUUUAUGGAAUAUGUAUCUAAAGGUCCAAGAAAAUUAGAACAUCAGUCCUGAAACAAAUAUUAGAAUAUUGAAGGAUUUGAAGUACUAGAAAUUAGGAAUUAGUUUUGAGAUACUUUCUUAUUUAAACGACUAAAUCUCCUACAUAUUGCAGGAGAGACCUAGAAAAGUAGGCCUUCAUUUCCUCAUAUUGACUGAGAUGCUCAAAACUGUAGAGAGUUCUAGGAGCACCAGGGGGAAAAAAGCCACCAAGAUCAUACCAUCUUGCUGGGAAUGAGACCAGAAGGUAGCAGAUUCUUGAAAACUCUAAAUGAAGGCAGGAGAAAUAUUCUUUACUAGCAGUUUUAAAUGGCCCAGGGAUUUCCUUAUGUCAUUAAAAACAAUCAACUGAAGAUAAGGCAAUGGGAGUCAAAGAAAAGAACUCAAAGAUUCCAAACCAGAUUGAUGUCCAAGAUUGGAUGAAGGGAAGGGAUGUACCUCAGUGAUAAAGGAAACUCAAUUAAAAACAGAAACAGCUCUGGUACUGAAGAACAAUGUAAUUUGGAGUCCUUUGGGGAUAAGCAGGAGGCAGAUCCCUAUCCCCUCAGCAACAAUUGCAUUGCCAUUGCUGGAGAGUCCCAUCAGCAGAGGAGGAGCACAGGGCAUGAAGCAGAGCUACAUUCAGUCACCUGGAGAAAACCUGGAGAACAUACUGGGAGGUUGUCCUUGCUUUUCUCUGAACGUUCAGUUCAAAGGACUUCGUCUAAUGUCAUUUAUUCCUGUAAGAGAAAUUGGCUGAGGAUAAUGAUAAUGACAAUAUUAAUAUUUAUACCACCUGCCUUCUCACAGGGUUGUUGUGAGGAAAGCACUUUUUAA